rnacentral:rRNA from 1 species
UACGUAGGGAGCAAGCGUUGUCCGGAAUCAUUGGGCGUAAAGCGCGCGUAGGCGGCUUCGUAAGUCCGUUGUGAAAGUCAAAGGCUCAACCUUUGAAAGCCGAUGGAUACUGUGAAGCUAGAGUACGGAAGAGGCGAGUGGAAUUCCUGGUGUAGCGGUGGAAUGCGCAGAUAUCAGGAGGAACACCAGUGGCGAAGGCAGCUCGCUGGGACGUUACUGACACUGAGGCGCGAAAGCGUGGGGAGCGAACAGG